rnacentral:rRNA from 1 species
AUUGAACGCUGGCGGCAGGCCUAACACAUGCAAGUCGAGCGGAUGAAGGGAGCUUGCUCCUGGAUUCAGCGGCGGACGGGUGAGUAAUGCCUAUGAAUCUGCCUGGUAGUGGGGGAUAACGUCCUGAUACGGGCGCUAAUACCGCAUGCGUCCUGUGGGAGCAAGUGGGUGAGCUUGGGACCUCACGCUAUCAGAUUAGCAUAGGUUUGAUUAGCUAGUUGGUGGGGUAGAGGGCUACCAAGGCGACGAUCCGUAACUGGUCUGAGAGGAUGGUCAGACACACUGGAAGUGAGACACGGCCGAGACUCUGACGGUAGGACGCAGUGGGGACUCUUGGACGAUGGGGGAAAGGGGGAUCCAGGCAUGCCGGGUGAGCGAAGAAGGUGCCCGGAUGGGAGAGCGCUUUAGGUUGGGAGGAAGGGCAGUAAGUUAAGACGUGGCUGUUUUGACGGUACCAACAGAAGAAGCACCGGCUAACUCCGUG